AGUGAACGCUGGCGGUAGGCCUAACACAUGCAAGUCGAACGGCAGCACAGUAAGAGCUUGCUCUUACGGGUGGCGAGUGGCGGACGGGUGAGGAAUACAUCGGAAUCUACUUUUUCGUGGGGGAUAACGUAGGGAAACUUACGCUAAUACCGCAUACGACCUACGGGUGAAAGCAGGGGAUCUUCGGACCUUGCGCGAUUGAAUGAGCCGAUGUCGGAUUAGCUAGUUGGCGGGGUAAAGGCCCACCAAGGCGACGAUCCGUAGCUGGUCUGAGAGGAUGACCAGCCAAACGGGAAAUGAGAACGGGGCCAGAACCUUACGGGAGGCAGAAGGGGGGAAUAUGGGAAAAUGGGCGCAAGCCGAAUCAAGCCAUACCGCGUGGGUGAAGAAGGCUUUGGGGUUGUAAAGCCCUUUUGUGGGGAAAAAAAAGAAGCAGGUUAAAACCCCGCUGGUCUGAAGGUACCAAAAGAAUAAGCACCGGCUAAUUUCGU
rnacentral:rRNA from 1 species